GGAGAACGCGCCUUCCAGCCUCCAGCGAAGUGGCGCGCGGAUCUGGGCCAGAACUCUCCAGAGCUGCGCCGCAGACGGCGAAAACCAGAGGUGGUUACAGUCAAGUUUAGGGACUGCAGGAGCGAAUUCCCGAAGGCUUGCAGGAGCCGCCCGGCUCUGCCUCCAGCCUUUCUCUCUGGGCCUAGCGGGACUCUCCCAGGCAGGCCCCUCCCUGCCCGCGGGCGCACUUUCCCCGCCUGCAUCUGAGGCGUGGCGCAGCUGGGAGCAAAGCACAGGUGGGCUGGGCGCGGUUUGGGGUUCGGGCGUGGCAGAGUGGCGGCGGGGUCUGGGGAAGAGUUGUCUUGGGGGCAGCGCCAGCCACCAGAGCCCGAGUCAGCGCGGCCAGGACUCUGCAGGGGCAGGUAGCGACCCUUAGAGACGCAACGUGGCGCAGCGGACUCGGCUGCGUGGGGCAAGGGCCGGGGCCGGACACAGGAGCAGCGGGGAUGCCGGGUGCGCUCCGAGGGUGUGGCCCCCGGGCUGUGCGGGGCUCAGAGCUGCUUGCUGGGCGCGGUGCCCGACAAAGUUAUCCUGGAUCCUAUCUUUGGUACCAAUGUGACCCAUCCUGAGUGAAGGGUCUGCCUGGACAAUAUUGGGUCACCUGUCAUCUCCAGAGGACCUGGGAAAGUGAAUCUUUAUUCAGUAUCUAUUCUGGGAUGUGAGCUUGGUCAAUCAGGAGGAAAGAGAAGGGGACCUGUGGAUGGACACUCAAGAGGCGGCUCCAGAAAAAGGAAAUGACAGCUGCACUACAAAUGGAAAACCGCGAUCACUUACUCACUAGAGAAGCAGGACCUCAGGAAGAAGCUCCAUAAGCUGCCAUGAGCACACAUGGAGGCUCCUGGAGAGGACGGUGAAGCCACCCCCGGGCAGAAUGGUGUCCAGGGGUCGAUGUCUUCUGCUUCUUUCUGCCUACCAAAUCACUCCUGGGUUCCCCUUAAACCAAGCUCUGACCAGUAGGCUCAGAGGCAAAUAGAUCAGGGAAAUGUACCGCCCAGCCUUAGAAGAAGAUGGUGGCACUGAUGUGUCAAGAGGAAAUAUAGCACCUAUAUAUAUGUACCAAGGGAAGAGGGGGGGAAGUGUUCAAAAUUACAUUUCGUUCAUUCAUCCAUUCAAAAAAUACUUAACAAUCACCUGCUUUAUAGCAGUCACUGUCUUGCACCGGGAUAUAACACGGUACAAACUAGGUGCGAUCUUUGCGAUUAUUAGGUUUAUUGGUAGCAGUUGUUGCUGUUACAUCUCACUGCUCUCAUUGCAAAUGUUGAUGGUGGCUUUUACGUCUGUGAAAAUAAAAAGCAUGACCUUUUGAUAGUUGUUUGCUGUAUGGAAGCCUAUUUUACUAUGUUUGCAUGCAAACUUCUAUCUGACCUUAAGCUAAUGGGAGCUUGUAAAGAGGUGGAAUCGAAUGUAAAGUUUGAAAAGACAAGA
rnacentral:lncRNA from 1 species